AGGAAAUCCACAAAGUGCGGGGUUGCCCUGGUAAAUAGACAGAUUAAUCAAGGUUUGAAACUGGUUGCCUGUUGGGAUUUUCCCUGACAAGUUAUUGUGUGACAGAUUCAGGUGAACCAAAAAGGUUAUGGAAGCCAUGCUCAUUGGAAUUGAACCAGAAAGUUUGUUUCUUGAUAGGUCGAGGAUCUCCAACCACUGCAAGUUUCCAAUCUUUUCUGGUAUAUUUCCCCCAAAAUUAUUGCUGGACAGAUUCAAGGUUCCCAGUUUCAGAAGGCUUGUUAGUUCGAUAGGAAUCUCCCCUGAUAAGCUAUUAUUGGAAAGAACCAGACUAUUCACAGGGUAGAGAAUGUUAUAGUAUUCCAGUGCUCUUCAUUUAGUAACAAGUUUCAAGCGUCCCUCGUAUUGUGCCAUAUCUGUAUAUCAUCAUCUGAAAGUUCAGAUUUGAAGCCACUCAAGUUCCGGAGGAUUGAAUCCUGGCACAUUGUUGUGUGAGACGUCCAGUAUGUGAAGGGUGGAAAGGGCACAGAUUUCUGAAGGAAUAUUACCGCUGAAGAAGUUGGACCACAAGGCUAAAAUCAAGAGGGAUGGAAUGCUUUCUUCUAUCUAGGAUGGAAUGUUUCCAGAAAAUUUGUUAUCACCAAGAUCAAGGCUUUCCAAGGCACUGCAGUUUUGCAGCUGGGAAGGAAGUUCACCAGAGUGACUGUUGUUGGAUAGCGCCAAGAAUCUGAGUGCCGUGAGGGAAACCAUUGAUCUUGGUAUUAUACCUGAGAGGCUGUUGUUUGACAUACCUGCAAUAUACAGGGAAGGCAUCUCAUUCCAGAUCUGAGGAAUUUCUCCACAUAAAUUAUUUUUGGAGAUAACCAAGGUGAUCAAAGCCUGUAGAUUACCUAUAGACAAGGGAAUGCUGCCAUUCAGAGAGUUCCAAGAGAUAUCCAAAUCUGUCAGAAUGGGUAUUACUUCACCAAUGUUCCGAGGAAUUGGUCCAGAAAACAAAUUACUCCUCAAAUACAGUGUACUCACAUUAAAAUACUGUUGAUAUCAUGUCAACUGGGGAUGGAUUCCUCUCUCUGAGGUAGCAAUGAAAGCUCCCAUUCAGAUGUUGGAAUUUGGACUUCCUGUUUCCCUACACAAAGAUGUCUGGACAGGUUAUCCAGGCACACCCUUCGAAGCCCAAGUCAGAUGCUAGGAAGAAUGGAAACCCUUAGAGAGAGAGAUCAUAGAACUCACAGUGUCCUCUCAUUCUAUUAUAUUACAGUAGGGUUUUUAUAGUGUUCAAAGGUGGAGAGGGGCUCAGUAGUGCUGAGUUGGCCAUUGUAGUGAUGAUUGCGCAAUAGUGAUAAGGUAAUCAUCAUAUUUGCAGGACGACUGGGAGCUGUGUUAGACGACGCGUCAUGACAUAGCUUGCCGUUCUUUCAACCUUGCUGGUGACCUAAGACUUGAUGUGCCUGUCUACUGAAGUAGAUGUGAGGAUGGGAAAGGUCUCAUCAGUCAAUCUAGUGUCAGCUAACCAGGGCCUCACAUAUCAAACAAGAUUUGAGGCUAUUAGGGGGAAGCGGGCCGCUCAGUGGCUCAAAUGGUUUGGACAGAAUGUUCCCCUGGGUGCCUUGAAGGUUGUCUGAAUAGUGAUGAAGACUGUCACGUGGCCCAACUGGGAUAAUGCCACGUGGACAGACGUGUGGAUGUACUCGUGGGUGGACACGUGGGAUAAGGCCCCCACAAAUACCAAAGUGGGAGAGGACCAUCAAAGAGGUUUGAGCUCAAAUCAACAUUGGAUAUGUAGUUGAACACUAGUGAGUUUGGAACUUUGCCUCUUAAUUGAUUAUAAGCAAUGUUGAGUUCAUUGAGCUGCAUUAUUCAGCACCAUAGUGGUUAACUCUGUUGGAAACGUGCCUUAAGUUGCUACAGUUAUGGGCAAACAAAAAGUUGCUGAAUAAUUGGUCAAUAGACCAAGUUUUUAGGAAAUAUUUUCUGCACAUAUAUAUAUAUAUAUAUAUAUAUAUAUAUAUAUAUAUUUUGGCUUGAUAUUAGGAAUUGGUUAGACAUGGCUUGAAAUUAGCAAAUUCUCUUGACUUUCUGUUAUGUUUCAGCUCUAUAUAAAGAGCAAUGCAAUGAAUAAAACAUACUUCCAGAUACCAAGUUUUUUUUCUUUACUAAAAAAGUUUUGUUUUUCCUUUGCUGUCAUAAAAUUUCUGUCCUGUUCUUGUGUCAUAUAUCAACAAUUUGGUAUUAGAGCACUUCUUCUUGAGGGAUCUGUGAGUUGAGUGAAUCCAUAAAUGGAAGUUGAAACAACUUUCUCCCAUGUUGCACCACCGAUUUUUGAUAGUGAUAACUAUCAAGCUUGGGCUGUUAGAAUGACAGUCCAUCUUGAAGCAUUAGAUCUUUGGGAAGCUAUAAAGGAAGACUAUGAUGUUCCCUCAUUGCCGGAAAACCCUACGAUGACUCAGCUUAAGACCCACAAAGAGAGGAAGAUCAGGAAAUCCAAAGCUAAAGCCUACUUAUUCUAUGCUGUUUUAAGCACUAUAUUUACAAGAAUCAUGAACCUGGAGUCAGCAAAAGAUAUUUGGGACUACCUUAAAAAGGAAUACCAAUGCAAUGAAAGAACCAAAAAUAUGCAAGUACUCAACUUGAUCAGGGAGUUUGAAAUGCUGAAAAUGAAGGAGACAGAAACCAUCAAAGACUACUCUGACAAGUUGCUGGGUAUAGUAAACAAGGUGAGGUUGCUUGGUAAGGACUUCUCUGAUGAACGAAUUGUGCAAAAAAUUCUUGUAACUCUGCCUGAAAAGUAUGAGUCUAAAAUUUCCUCAUUAGAAGAAUCUAAGGAUUUGUCAAGCAUAUCCUUGGCAGAAUUGGUGAAUGCAUUGCAGACACAAGAGCAAAGGAGAAUGAUAAGAAAAGAAGAAUCGAUGGAGGGUGCUCUUCAAGAAAAGGCAUAAAAUUCAGGAGAAGGCAAAGAUAAGAAAAACAACAAUAAGAAGAAGAACAACAAGACUGACAGCAACAACAAAAACAAGGAUGGAACCUAUCCACCUUGCCCACACUGUAAAAAGACAAAUCACCCACAAAGGAAGUGCUGGUGGAGGCCUGAUGUCAAGUGCAGGAAAUGUGGUUAGAUUGGACACAUGGAGCGGAUUUGCAAGUCACAACAACAUGAAGAGGCAAAAGCUUCUACUGAGCAACAUCAAGAAGAACAACAACUUUUUGUUGCAACAUGCUUCACAACAAGUAACAGCUCUAGCGAUUCCUGGUUGAUUGAUAGUGGCUGCACAAACCACAUGACCAAUGACCAAGAGCUCUUUAAGGAGCUUGAUAAAAUUAUCAUCUCUAAAGUAAAAAUUGGAAAUUGUGAAUGUAUUUCAGUUAAGGGUAAAGGAACUGUGGCUAUAGAAAGCUUAACAGGUUUGAAGUAUAUUACUAAUGUUCUAUAUGUGCUUGACAUUGAUCAAAACCUACUUAGUGUUGGAUAGCUGAUUGAAAAAGGUUUCAAAGUCAUAUUUGAAGACAAAUGGUGCAUGAUCAAAGACGCAAAAGGUAGAGAUGUAUUCAAAGUGAAAAUGAGAGCAAAAAGCUUUGCUCUAAAUCUAAUGGAGGAUGAGCCAAUAGCAUUUUCAAGCACUGUAAGCAAUGCAGAAUUAUGGCACAGAAGGCUCAGGCAUUUCCACCAUGUUGGACUUCUUCUAUAUAUGCAGAAAUAGAAUUUGGUGAAAGGUGUGCCAUUGUUGGAAGACAAGCUAGCUGAUUGUGUAGCUUGUCAAUAUGACAAGCAAACUAGAAGACCAUUUCCUCAAACAGCAUGGAGAGCAAUGCACAAGCUGCAACUGAUACACACAAAUGUUGGAGGACCUCAGAAAACACCAUCUUUAAAUGGUAAUAAGUAUUACAUUGCAUUUAUUGAUGAUUAUACCAGAUUUUGUUGGAUUUAUUUCCUCAAAUCCAAAUAUGAGGUUGCUAAUGUAUUUUGGAAAUAUAAAGCAUGGGUGGAGAAUCAAAGCAGUUGCAGGAUGCAGAAGAUAAGGUCAGAUAAUGGGAAAGAAUACACAAAUGAAAUUUUUUAUAAGUUCUGUGAAGAAGCCGGUAUUGAGCACCAACUCACAAUACCUUACACUCCACAACAGAAUGGAGUAAGUGAGAGAAAAAAUCGAAGUAUUAUGGAGAUGACAAGGUGUAUGCUACAUGAGAAGGAGUUGCUAAAGAAAUUGUGGGUAGAGGCUGCAAACACUGCAGUUUUUUUGCUGAAUAGGCUGCCAACUAGAGUUUUGCAGAAAAAAACUCCAUUUGAAGCCUGGUUUGGUUAUAAACCAAAUUUGCAGAAUCUAAGAACUUUUGGUUGUCUAUGUUUUUCUUAUGUGCCAUAGGUAAAAAAAGACAAACUUGAUAAGAAGGUAGAACCAAGAGUUUUCAUUGGAUAUAACAACUCUUCCAAGGCUUACAAAAUUUUCCAACCACAAAAUGGAAAAAUUCUUGUAAGUAGAGAUGUCAAGUUCAUGGAGGAUAGACAAUGGAACUGGGAAGAGUCAAUAAAGAUGCAACUGCCAGAGGUUCUGCAAUACUUUGAUAAAGACAUAGAUGAUGUCCCGGUUAGAGGUACAAGGUCCUUAUCUGAUGUUUAUGAAAGAAACAAUGUUGCUGUUUUUGAGCCUACAGAAUUUGAAGAGGCAGAGAAGGAUGACAAGUGGAUUGAAGCAAUGAAAGAGGAACUUAGAAUGAUUGAAAAGAAUGACACCUGGGAGUUGGUGGACAGACCUCAACACAGAAAGGUCAUUGGAGUCAAAUGGGUUUAUAGAACCAAACUUAAUGCAGAUGGUUCUGUAAAUAAAUACAAAGUCAGAUUAGUUGUGAAGGGGUAUAGUCAAGUGUUUGGAGUGGAUUUCUUAGAAACUUUUGCUCCAGUAGCACGCUUGGAUACAAUCAGAAUGUUGCUUGCUUUGACAGCACAAAAGAGAUAGAAAACUUACUAGUUGGAUGUAAAAUCUGUUUUUUUAAAUGGUUAUCUUCAAGAGGAAAUUUAUGUAGAGCAGCCCAAGGGAUUCCAAGUCAAGGGACAGGAGGAGAAGGUCUGCUUGUUGAAGAAGGCCUUAUAUGGUCUUAAACAGGCUCCUAGGGCCUGGUACAGCAGGAUUGAUGAACAUCUUCAAAGUCUUGGAUUUGUUAAAAGUCCAAGUGAAGCUACAUUAUAUGUAAAAGGAACAGAUGCUAACUUGAUUGUAAUUUCUGUUUAUGUUGAUGAUCUGCUUGUAACAGGUAGCAAUGAGAAACUGGUAAAAGAGUUUAAAGCUGAAAUGCUCAAAGUAUUUGAGAUAACAGACCUUGGCUUGAUGUCCUACUUUCUGGGUAUGGAGGUGAAGCAAGAUCAGGAUGGAGUCUUCAUAAGCCAAAAGAAGUAUGCAAAGGAAAUGCUUAACAAAUUUCACAUGGAAGAUUGCAAAAGGACUAGCACACCAAUGAAUCAAAAGGAGAAAUUUAGCAAAGAUGAUGGAGCAAAAAAAGUGGAUGAAAGCCAAUAUAGGAGCCUGAUUGGUUGCUUGAUGUAUCUUACAGCCACUAGACCAGACAUAAUGUUUUCAGUAAGCUUGCUUUCAAGAUUCAUGCAUUGUGCCAAUGAAGUGCAUUUUCAAGCUGCCAAAAGGAUUGUAAGAUAUAUCAAGGGCACAACAAAUUAUGGCAUUAAAUAUUCUUAUUGUCAGAAUUUUGAACUUCAUGGUUAUUCUGAUAGUGAUUGGGCAGGUUCUAUUGAUGACAUGAUAAGUACAACAAGAUUUUGUUUCAGUUUUGGAUCUGGAAUUUUUUCAUGGUCCUCAAAGAAGCAAGAUGUGAUAGCUCAAAGUAUAGCAGAGACAGAAUAUGUAGCAGCCAAUGCUACUAUAAAUCAAGCAUUUUGGAUUAGAAAAAUACUUGCAGAUCUACACAUGAAACAAAAUGAGCCAACACAGAUUCAUGUAGAUAACCAAGUUGCAAUUGCAAUUUCAAGAUCAAGUUGUAUCACUUAAGAGAAGAACAAAAGGAUGGUGAAGUUAAACUGCUUUAUUGCAAGACUGAGGAUCAAAUUGCAGAUGUGUUAACCAAGGCUCUACCAAAAGCUAGAUUUGAAACCUUAAGAAGCAAAAUAGGCCUCUGCAACUACUAAGGCAAGGAGGAGUGUUGGAAACGUGCCUUAAGUUGCUACAGUUAUGGGCAAACAAAAAGUUGCUGAAUAAUUAGUCAAUAGACCAAGUCUUUAGGAAAUAUUUUCUGCAUAUAUAUAUAUAUAUAUAUAUAUAUAUAUAUAUAUAUAUAUAUAUAUAUAUAUAUAUAUAUAUUUGACUUGAUAUUAGGAAUUGGUUAGACAUGGCUUGAAAUUAGCAAAUUCUCUUGACUUUCUGUUAUGUUUCAACUCUAUAUAAAGAGCAAUGCAAUGAAUAAAACAUACUUCCAGAUACCAAGUUUUUUUUCUUUACUAAAAAAGUUUUGUUUUUUCUUUGCUGUCAUAAAAUUUCUGCCCUGUUCUUAUGUCAUAUAUCAACAAACUCAUUUUGAGUUCUAAGCCAGCUAGGAAAUUUGGGACCUAAUUGGCAAGAUCUAAGGUUGAUGUAUGUGAGUUUGAAAGGAGGAGCCCAGUCAGAGGAGAUGUUGAAAACCAAAGAAACAUUUGGAGAACUUUUAGUAAUCGACAAUUGCUUUAGGUUUGAGAGGUUGGCAAAGUGAGCUUUUGUUAUGACACCUUCCCAUGAAUUCUCAUUAAGCUCCAGCAUGACCAGCGAUGAGAGUUGUCCAAUGCUGUCUGGGAUGAUCCCACCCAUUUGAUUAUGAGAGAGGUACAAUACCUGUAAAGAUGAUAAGCUCCCAAUUGAUUCUGGAAUUGAACCGCAAAAUGAAUUAGACAGUAAUUGAAGAUAUCUUAAAUUCUUAAGAUGCCCCAAUGAAUCUUGUAGGUUUCCAGUCAGUUUAUUGUAUCCCAAAUCCAGAUUCUCUAAGGUGCUGUAAGAGCAUGCAAAUAAGCCAUCGAGGAACUCAGUUAUCUCACCAGAAAGUUUGUUAACAGAGGAUCAAUGUCCGCAAAUUGCACAAAUUUCCAAGUGUUCUUGGAAAUUCUCCUUCAAUGUUCGAAUUCUUGGACAAAUCAAGUAGUUGGAGAGAAGUGAAGUUCUGGAAUGCAUCUGGAAGUCCACCUUAGAGGUUGUUGGAGUUGAGAUUGACAGAAGUUGUGGAAUAAAGGCUGAAAAUUUCUUAUUAUUUUUCAGAAUGUGAAACACGUACAACUUAUAUAGGAAGAGAGGUGGAUAUUUACAUAAAGAGUCCUACUCCAAGUUUAACUAAAAGGAUAAACAUUCCUAUUCCUAGUUUAACUAAAAGGAUAAACAUUACAACUGAUAAACGUUUACAACAGAUAGAUAUUAUCACUUAACAUAUGGGCAUUAUCACUUAGUGGCUAAGCAUUAUCUUUUCUGUUAGAGAUCAAGGUACACAAGGCUACUGAGAUUAAAUAACCAGUGAGGAAUGGUGGAGUCAAACCCUUGAGAGAUCAAGAAGGGAAAGAGAAGUAAAAUUGAGAAAUGGAAGAGAAAGGGACAAGUUGGAAAGUUGACAGUUGGGCAAGUGCAACUCCAAAAGAGAAGGCAAAGUAUCUAGAGCCAGUAGGCUGCAGCCUUGCUGAGAUCAAAGAAGAAAGGCCUGACAGCCAUUCUUGUUUGGUUUGAUAGUGUGUGUUGAGAUCAAGGUAGUGCAAGUUUGAGAGGUUUGCAAUAUAUGGAGGGAUCAUACUACCAAAGGAUGCUCCAGAGAGAUUGAGAUAUCUCAACUUCCCAAGUGAUCCAAUGAAUUUUGGAAUUUCCAUUCCUUCAAAAUUAUUCAUGCUGAGGUCUAGAUAAUUCAGAUAUUUCAAAUGGAGCAAAGAAGGAUUGAUCUCACCACCCAACUCGCUAACUGUUCCAUCGCCCUCCAAACUGUUUGGGAAUGGGUUGCCAAGUUUGAGCUUGAUGAUGCUUCCAGUCCUGUUAUAGCAGCUAACUCCUCUCCAUUUACUAUAAUCUUCUCUGACCCAAGAUGACAGCCGACCUCAAGAAUCCGUGAGGCCUUGUUUGAAUUUGAGAAGUGCUUCCUUCUCAACUUCUAGGCAAUCCAUGUUCUGAUUGGCAUCGCAUGAGCUGAGUUUAAUUGUUCCUUGGGACAAAUAGUAGGAGUGAAAGAAAUUGAGUAAUGACAUUGCACAUGAUCAUGUUAUGAUCAAAGUGUAAGAGGAAGAGAGUUUCUCUUCUAUCCAACAGAAGGCUGAAUUAGUCUACUUACAGAACAAAUUAGGUGCUUGAGGGGAAGAUUUAGUUGGUUGAUGUGGUUAGGACAUUUGACCCCACAUGUUGAUAUUGAAAUGCUUUGCCCUUUUUGAGACGCUAGAAUGUGAACAUUUUUUUAUAGGUUAUGAUGUGAACAUUAGAAACUCUAUUAGGAAGUGUGACAAUACCUUGUUCCAAAAGGAGGAAGAACUUUGUGAUAUCCUCACCAGCUACUAUUCUACCGAACUUGAGAACUCUGUUCCCAUUUGACAUUAUCCUGACUGCUAUAGCCUAAAUUUUUACUCAGUGAUAGUGUUAGCUUCUCUAUACGCAUUAUGACUUGUGAUCUUGUCAACUGACAAACUACGACAGCCAGACUCCUGGCGGGGGUUGUUAGAGCCACAAUAGUAAAACUUAAUGGAGUAGGGAAUCUGAGCUGUUGAAGCGUUCCUGUCCUUAAUGAAAAUGUCUUGCCUUCUUUGUUUUGUAGUGUGGCCUCUUUGACACGCUAAUGUAACACUUGCUUUAAUAGGUCCAGAUGUGGACAUCAAAACUUUACUAGAACGUGUGACAAUGCCAAAGAUUUGGGGUAAUUGCAUUUGUUCUUAUAUAUAGAGCUUCACGGUAUACUACUUCAGCAACUCGCAUAGAAACAUGGCUACUACCAAUGCCUGUCUUCAACUUCUUUUUCUUGUCAUUAUGUCCUCGGGGUUUCUUUUCCAUGAAACCCUUAAACCAGGCUGCUGCCAUGGUGAUCACCAUAGGGCAGCCUCCAUUGACACUGAGAGGGUAGCUCUUCUCAAGUUCAAACAAGGCCUUACAGAUCCUUCUCAUCGACUCUCAUCUUGGGUAGGGGAAGACUGCUGCAAGUGGAGAGGCGUCGUCUGCAACAACAGGAGUGGACAUGUCAUCAAACUCAAUCUGCGUAGUCUUGAUGAUGAUGGAACAGAUGGCAAGUUGGGCGGUGAGAUAAGUCUUUCUUUGCUUGAUUUGAAAUAUCUGAAUCACUUAGACCUGAGCAUGAAUAAUUUUGAAGGGACUCGAAUCCCAAAGUUCAUUGGUUCACUGGAAAGGUUGAGAUAUCUCAAUCUCUCCUGUGCCUCCUUCAGUGGACCAAUUCCUCCACAACUUGGAAAUCUUUCCAGGUUAAUCUACCUUGACCUCAAGGAAUACUUUGAUUUCAACAGAUACCCUGAUGAGUCCAGCCAGAAUAAUCUUCAGUGGAUAUCUGGUCUUUCUUCUUUAAGACACCUUAAUUUAGAAGGAGUCAAUCUAAGUAGAGCUUCUGCUUAUUGGCUUCAUGCUGUUAGCAAGCUUCCUUCUCUUUCAGAGUUGCAUCUAUCUAGUUGUGGACUUUCUGUCCUCCCUCGUUCUCUCCCAUCUUCCAAUCUUACAUCCCUUUCAAUACUUGUUCUCUCCAACAAUGGUUUCAACUCCACAAUACCCCACUGGCUAUUCCAGCUGAGGAAUCUUGUGUACCUUGAUCUCAGCUUUAACAAUCUUCGAGGCUCAAUUUUAGAUGCAUUUGCAAACAGGACUUGUCUUGAAAGUUUAAGAAAGAUGGGUAGCCUCUGCAACUUGAAAACACUGAUCCUUUCUGAGAACGAUUUGAAUGGGGAAAUAACUGAAAUGAUAGAUGUUUUAUCUGGGUGCAACAAGUGUAGUUUAGAGAACCUGAAUCUGGGAUUGAAUGAACUGGGUGGUUUUCUUCCUUAUUCACUAGGAAACCUGUCCAACUUGCAGUCUGUUCUGCUUUGGGACAACUCGUUUGUAGGCUCAAUUCCGAAUUCAAUAGGAAACUUGUUGAAUUUGGAAGAGCUGUACCUCUCUAAUAAUCAAAUGAGUGGGACCAUUCCAGAAACACUUGGACAACUUAAUAAGUUGGUUGCGUUAGAUAUCUCUGAGAAUCCAUGGGAAGGUAUUCUAACAGAAGCCCAUUUGUCAAAUCUCAUAAACUUAAAGGAGUUGUCCAUCGCUAAAUUUUCGUUACUUCCAGACCUAACAUUGGUUAUCAAUAUCAGUUCUGAGUGGAUCCCCCCUUUUAAGCUCCAAUACCUUAAUCUGAGAUCAUGCCAAGUGGGUCCUAAAUUUCCAGUUUGGCUCAGAAACCAAAAUGAGCUUAACACUCUAAUACUCAGGAAUGCUCGAAUUUCAGACACCAUACCAGAGUGGUUUUGGAAGUUAGACUUGGAAUUGGAUCAACUGGACUUGGGCUAUAAUCAAUUAAGUGGCAGAACUCCAAACUCAUUAAAGUUCACUCUUCAAUCCUCGGUUUGUUUGAUCUGGAACCAUUUCAAUGGUUCUCUGCCCCUUUGGUCAUCAAAUGUGAGUAGCCUACUUUUGAGAAAUAAUUCAUUUUCUGGACCAAUCCCUCGGGAUAUCGGGGAAAGAAUGCCCAUGCUGACAGAGUUAGAUCUCUCUCAUAACUCUCUAAGUGGAACCCUUCCCGAGUCCAUUGGGGAACUAACUGGUUUAGUGACUCUGGAAAUGUCAAACAAUAGUUUGACUGGAGAAAUCCCUGCAUUGUGGAAUGGUGUUCCCAAUUUGGUGGCGCGUGUAGACCUGUCAAACAACAACUUAUCUGGUGAGCUGCCAACUUCUGUGGGUUCUCUGUCCUACCUUAUCUUUUUAAUGCUCAGCAACAAUCAUCUUUCUGGGGAACUUCCUUCUGCCUUGAAGAAUUGCACAAACAUCCGUACUCUUGAUCUCGGAGGCAACAGAUUUUCAGGAAAUAUUCCGGCAUGGAUUGGACAAACAAUGCCAAGUCUUUGGAUUCUACGACUACGAUCAAAUUUGUUUGAUGGGAGCAUUCCGUUACAACUUUGCACUCUUUCCUCUCUUCACAUAUUGGAUCUUGCACAAAAUAAUCUGUCAGGAUCUAUUCCCUCUUGCGUUGGGAAUUUGAGUGCUAUGGCAUCUGAAAUUGAAACAUACAGAUAUGAGGCCGAAUUGACGGUGUUGACAAAAGGAAGGGAAGAUUCAUAUAGAAACAUUCUCUAUCUUGUGAAUAGCAUCGACCUGUCUAACAAUGGCCUAUCUGGAGAUGUGCCCGGAGGGCUAACAGAUCUUUCAAGAUUAGGCACCUUGAACUUGUCUAUGAACCAUUUGACAGGAAAAAUACCAGACAACAUUGGGGACUUACAAUUGUUGGAAACUCUAGACCUCUCAAGAAAUCAGCUUUCCGGUCCAAUUCCACCAGGUAUGGCUUCUUUGACUCUCAUGAAUCACUUGAACCUGUCGUAUAACAACCUGUCAGGUAGAAUUCCAUCAGGCAACCAGCUGCAAACCCUGGAUGAUCCAUCAAUAUACUGGGACAACCCUGCACUAUGUGGGCGUCCAAUAACCGCUAAGUGUCCUGGUGAUGAUGAUGGAACCCCCAAUCGUCCCAGUGGAGAUGAUGAAGAUGACGAUGAAGAUGGAGCUGAGGCUGAAAUGAAGUGGUUCUACAUGAGCAUGGGAACAGGAUUUGUGGUGGGGUUUUGGGGAGUUUGUGGCACCUUAGUAGUGAAGGAGUCAUGGAGGCAUGCCUAUUUUAGGCUUGUGAAUGACAUCAAAGAGUGGCUGCUUCUAGUUAUUCAGCUGAAUGUAGCCCGUCUCCAAAGGAAACUGAAGUUGGGAAGAAGCCAGCAUCAUACUUGAACAACCUUCUGAAAUGAAUGAAUGCUUUGAUGUAGCCUAGCAGUUCAGCUUUGUGUGCAACCUUCUGACAUUAAGUUCCAGAAAUAAAUGAAUGCUUCUAUAUAGUUUAGCACUUCAGCUUCAUGUACAACGUUCUGAAAUAUGAAGUUUUCCUUCCAAGUUUUUUUAAUCCGCUUUGUCUCUUAUUUUUCUAUCUUUUGGUCACAAAUUCACACAAACACUUACAUAUAUACUCGGAGACUUGCCAAAAAUAAAUAAAUGAGUUAAUAAACAACGAAGGCCAUCUCCGAUUCCCAGCAUCUCUCAGCAUUGCUUUGUGUCCUAUCAUCUUUUCAACACAACUCUUCACAGGGAAGCAGAUUAUAUUUCAUAAUUAAAUUAAGGGUCUUAACAAUUUCUAAUCUUCAUUAAAUUUUUUAAAUUCAAUUUAAUUUGACUUUAAGUAUGAUUACUACUUUCAAAAAAUUUAAAUUUUAUAAAAAAAAAUCUAUAUUAAAAAUUCUAAUAAUAUUUUUUAAUUUUUUUAGAAAAAAUUAUCUUGAAUUCCUUUAAUAUAUUUAUUUUAAAAUUUUAAAACUAAUUUUAUUAAAAUAUGUUUUAUUAUAUUUUAAUUAAAAACAUUAAAUCAUUUCUUAGAUUUAUAUAAAAUAUUUUAUUUAAGAUUUAAUUUCUAUUAUUUUAUUAAAAAUUUGUGGUGAUAAUUAUAUGUUAUUACAACCAAUUUAUCUAAAUAAAUAAAAUUAUAUUAAUAAUUUAUCUUAUCAAAUUAAUUUAAAUUUAAAAUUAUAUUUUAUAAAAUAUUUAAAUGACAUUAAUUUUUUAUUUAUGUUUAAGUAAUUUUUUAAAUAGAUUUAUAUUUUAAAUAUUUUAAAACAAAAACAUUCAAAAUUAAAUAAAAUUAAAAGGAUAAAUAUAAAAGAAAAAAAAUUUAAAGUGAAGUGAUAGAAAUUUUUUGAAGUAGGGUUAAUGUGAUAAAUAUAAAAAACAAUUAAAAAUAAAAAGAUAAUAUAAAUUUAAAAUAAACAAUAAAUUAAAAAAAAAAAUGCCCACUGUCUGGGCAUUAUUUAAAUGAAGUAUCCAAAAUUUUAAUCAAUGAUUUAAGCUCUGCCCUUAGAUUAAAUAUUUAAUUCAGAUGAGGUUGGUUUAAAAACACACAAGCCUGAUCUUGGUUAUUGGAUAAAAAAAUUUUUUGGCAAAAAAUCAUCAUUUUUCAAGGAAAUUUUGGAAUAAAUUUAAAGUACACAAAAAAUUUAAAAAAAAUUGCCGACUCUCCAGGCAUUUAAAUUAUUUAAUUGAAGUAUCCAAAAUUUUAAUCCAUGAUUUAAGCUUCUCUCUUAGAUCAGACAUUUAAUUCAGAUGAGGCUUAAAAACACACAAGCCUGAUCUGGUCAUUGGAUCAAGUUGGAGGAAAAGAAGCAUGUAAAUAUGUCACAAAAUUUUGGGGAAAAAAUCGUUAUUUUUCAAGUUGGAGGAAAAGAAGCCUGUAGAUAUGUCACAAAUUUCUGGGGAAAAAAUCGUUAUUUUUCAAAGAAAUUUUGGAAUACAUUUAAAAUAAAUGAUAAAUUAAAAAAAAUAAAAAUUGCUCACUCUCUAGGCAUUAUUUAAACGAAGUAUCCAAAAUUUUAAUCCAUGAUUUAAGUUUGGGCCUUAGAUCAAACAUUUAGAUGAGGUUUAAAAACACACAAGCUUGGUCCUGGUCAUUGGAUCAAGAAUCUUUCAUUUCAACCCUUAAUUGGAGGAAAAGAAGCAUGUAGAUAUGUCACGGAUUUUUUUUUAGCAAAAAAUUGUCAUUUUUCAAAGAAAUUUUGGAGAUUUUUUGCUUCAUCCGCUUCAGUGAUUACUUCGAUCCAAGUCAAUAAAUUGGCAAUUCAAAAUUUCUCAUUUCCAUGCCAUUUUUUUGCUUCGACUGUCGUUAAUAUUCAUAUUUUGUUGAAAUGUCGGCAAAAUUUCAAACCUUGGUUGGGGUUAAAGCUUGCAUGACAAGUGGUAUCUAAGCUUAGCUCAACAUACAAGGGCUUUAUGUUUGUAUGGCAAUUUCUUUUCUGGCCCCAAUUCCUCUGGAGUUCGGUGAAAGAAUGCCCAUGCAUUCUUGGUAUUGCCAUGGGCUUCUAUACAAAAAUUGACCAAGGGCUUUAUGCUGUUCUUGGAGCAGCCUCCCUGAUGGCUGGUUCAAUGAGGAUGACUGUUUCCCUCUGUGUCAUAUUCCUUGAACUCACAAACAACCUCCUCUUACUACCCAUAACAAUGAUUGUGCUUCUAAUAGCCAAAAGUGUUGGUGAUUGCAUCAACCCAAGCAUUUAUGAGAUAAUACUGCAUCUCAAAGGCCUGCCUUUCUUGGAUGCGAAUCCUGAGCCAUGGAUGAGAAAUUUAAUUGUUGGGGAGCAUGCAUCAUGCCAAGCCACAAGUAGUUACCCCAUAGUGGAGUGGAAAAGCUAGCCCGCAUUGUCGAUGUCCUGAGAAACACCACGUGCAAUGGUUUCCCAGUUGUAGAUGAAGGGGGUGGAACCAUCUGUCGGUCUGGCCAUAGGGGCAACUGAACUGCAUGGAAUUUGGCCAAGAGCACACCUUGUUAAAGUGCUGAAGAAGAGGUUCCUGCGAGAGAGAAGGAGAACAGAGGAGUGGGAAGUGAGAGAGAAAUUUACCCAGCUAAAUCUUUUCUUUCUUUUUGGUUGCAUACAAUGAUAACAAUGGUCAUUCUUCAUUGGAAACUAUGCCAUAGGUUCAGUGCCUUCAAAUAUGCAAGGUCAUAUAGUACUAGAUGUUCUUAAUAACUACAGAAUGAUGCCAUUGUUCAUUCAAGAUGAUACUCCCAGCUACAAGAUGCAUCAUAUGUCUUCUAAAAAGAAAAGAAAGAAGGAAGAAUGUAUUACCUCUGGGUUCCAGGAAAAAAAUUAAAACCAUGGGCUUUAUCCAAAUGCCAUUCCUUACAGGACAACAAUGACUUACAAUCCUGUUUAAUAAUUUCUGUAUUAGAAGCUUGAGACAAUAAUUCAUGUUUUCUAAUUUGCCAAAAAUCAAAGUAGAGUCAGAUCUAAUUGCAAGGUAAUUCUAAGAAGACAACAUAGAAACUUAAGAUCCAGAAAUACCUCUUUGAAGCUUUCUCAUCCACAAAUAAUAUAGAUGAGAGUUUUAGGCAGUGACUGACCCUCUUCUGGAGAUGUUUUGCUUUCAAUCUGAACCGAGGCUUCCUUUGCACGUAAAAUCCAUGGUCCGUUUUCGUUCUUGACCUUUGAAAAAGACCUGAAAAAAGAAUGAAUUACUUAAAUCUUAAAGCUUUAGAGUUGCUGUUUCAUGCAUUUCAGUCACAUGGAAAUUACAGAAGCACCCAUACCUUUCAGUUGAUAUAGCUCCGUAGUGCAUCAACCAGAGAUGGAUCCAGCCCCUUUCUAGGAGGGUCAACAACAACUACACCUGAUCCCACUAGCCAAGAAAGAGGUCCCUGUUCCAGUUCAAUGAAUGAAACUCUUAUUGUAGGCUGAAAUAUUUACAAGAGUGAGAAGUCAAAAUUUAAUUUUCAAUAAUAUUGCCAGCUUAUCUGACUUUAGUCACUAGUAAUGUAAAAGAAUAAAAAAGUAGGAGAUAUCCGUAUGUAUGAGCUCCAGAGGAAAAUUCAGAGGGCUAUUUGUGUUUUUGUUUGUAUGUAUGAGUGUAAAUGUUUGAGGUUUUGAACACUAACAAUUGAAGUGUCUGCAUGAUGCCAUCUGAUGGUACCAUCUAUAGACUUUGGUAAGCCGCCAACUGUCUUCUCAAAAGAUAGCUUUGCCUCUUUGUCAAUCUCAAUGCAUUUAACAGACCUGGAAAACAAGGAUAAUUAACUUGGAAUUAAUAUAUCUUCUAGUUGGACAUAAGAAUGAGACUUCCAGACAACUUGAGCCAUCUGAGUUCUUGCCUGCAUUUUCUGGUGGUAGCUAAUGAUAAUCCAAUGACACCAGCUCUGGCACACAAAUCAGCAACUCUUCCCCAUAUGGGUCAUACUUUUGUAACUUACGAAGCAAUGAAUCAAAAGCCUGAACAGAAGCAGCAGACCAGCAACAUACAAGUAGGAUUUCUCUCAAGGAACAUAAGAUAGAAUCAGACAUCUUAUGUUAGUGAGCCGCAGCUGUGUCCUAUGUGAUGCAGGAACACAAAAAGGAACGCCGAACUUAGGUGCGCAAACAAGAGGCAAAUAAAACCGGAGGCUCCAGGCCCAGCAAUUCCAUCAAUUAAUUGUAUCAAAAAGGGAAUUGUACAUUCUCAAGGACUUGAUGUCCCUCACAUCAUGAAAUGAAUUAUAAUUUAAUGAUGAUUGAUAAAUAAGAUGGAAUAAAGACGUUCCUAUCAAAGGUGUACCAGUCUACAGCUAUCAAAGGUGAAAUCUGAAACGCCGCGGUUGUGGAAGAAGUCGUGACGCCGUCAAGAAUGAUCGGACGGUGGAGGUUGACCUCUUGAGCACCUGCAAAAACAAGCAUUGGAAAGCAAUUUGUACGAGUAAGUGGAGAAACAGAGAGAAGGGGGUGCGCACGAUUGGAAGUGUUGGCAUUGUAGGGCAUGUUAGGGAAGGACGUGGAGAUAGGUUUAGGGUUAGGGAUUGGUGGAAAGGACCAUAAACAUCCUUGAUUUUAAAAUUUCUAUCACUAUCACGUAAUAUUGAGUUUGGUGGAAAGGACCAAAUGAUUGAAGUUUCUCUCAGCCUUUUAUGUUUCUGCGCGCCUUGGGUUAUGUGGCCUUUUUAUCAGCCAUCAUAUCCUCAUAUUAUAUGUCUCUAUGAAUAGAAUUCAGGUUCUGCUGCAAGGUGACGCUUCUGGAGAUCGCGACUCAUGUCCACCAAGCGUGUUCAAACAUCAAAUAUAGCUGUGGAGGCAGGGUGGAGGUCAGGUCUGGAUGUUUGGGGCCUAUAAACCGAGUCUCUGCUUGGAAUUGAAAUAAUUAUUUUCGGAGUUAUAUAUUCUUGGGAGAUAUAUUCCUAUUCCUUCUCUUCUGCCAAGUAAAUGAGGCCUAGGACUCUGCCAGUAUUGAAGCUUAAACUGUAAAAUAGGUUUGGCUGAUUAUUCGUGCUGCUAACACAAUAUUUAAAAGCAAUCAAGAUCAUAAGAAAUAAUUCCCAAACAUAAAUUUGUUUGUGUAAAUGGCAGGUUUACAAUUGAUGAGAAAUGAUGUUUUCAACAAGUAUCUUUUCAUCUUAAAGCAUGUUCCCCGAUUUUCUUCAGCUGCAGUUUUUUUCAAACACCUACACCUUUCUUGUCAGACGGGCAACAUUCAGUGCCACAGCCAGAAGGAGCCUAUCUUUCAUUUUCUCGACAAAACGAAAAUAAGCAUACCGCCAUGAUGUCUUGAUUAUCAAAGUGCCACAAACUCCCCAGAAUCCUAUGAUGAAUCCCAGUCCCAUGCUAACAAAGAACCAUGGCAAUUCAGAGUCAUCUCCAUCUUCAUCAUCAUUGUCUUCUCCUUUCCCAGUUGGAAUUGUUCCAUUGUUAUCAUGGCACUCUGUCGUUAGAGGAAAUCCACAAAGUGCGAGGUUGCCCUGGUAAAUAGACGGAUCAAUCAAGGUUUGAAACUGGUUGCCUGUUGGGAUUUUCCCUGACAAGUUAUUGUGUGCCAGAUUCAGGUGAACCAAAAAGGUUAUGGAAGCCAUGCUCAUUGGAAUUGGACCAGAAAGUUUGUUUUUUGAUAGGUCGAGAGUCUCCAACCACUGCAAGUUUCCAAUCUUUUCUGGUAUAUUUCCCCCCAAAUUAUUGCUGGACAAAUUCAAGGUUCCCAGUUUCAGAAGGCUUGUUAGUUCUAUUGGAAUCUCUCC
rnacentral:lncRNA from 1 species